rnacentral:tRNA from 1 species
GCUCGCAUAGCGCAGUUGGUUAGCGCGCCUCAUUCACAUUGAGGAGGUCCCAGGUUCGAAUCCUGGUGCGAGCA